rnacentral:rRNA from 1 species
UACAGAGGUGGCAAGCGUUGUUCGGAAUUACUGGGCGUAAAGGGCGCGUAGGCGGCUUUGCAAGUGACGGGUGAAAGCCCUCGGCUUAACCGAGGAACUGCCUAUCAGACUGUGAGGCUUGAGACCAGGAGAGGUGAGUGGAAUUCCCAGUGUAGCGGUGAAAUGCGUAGAUAUUGGGAGGAACACCAGUGGCGAAGGCGGCUCACUGGACUGGUACUGACGCUGAGGCGCGAAAGCGUGGGGAGCAAACAGG